rnacentral:rRNA from 1 species
UACAGAGGGUGCGAGCGUUAAUCGGAAUUACUGGGCGUAAAGCGCACGUAGGCGGACUAUUAAGUCAGGGGUGAAAUCCCGGGGCUCAACCCCGGAACUGCCUUUGAUACUGGUAGUCUUGAGUUCGAGAGAGGUGAGUGGAAUUCCGAGUGUAGAGGUGAAAUUCGUAGAUAUUCGGAGGAACACCAGUGGCGAAGGCGGCUCACUGGCUCGAUACUGACGCUGAGGUGCGAAAGCGUGGGGAGCAAACAGG